UACGUAGGGGGCAAGCGUUGUCCGGAUUUAUUGGGCGUAAAGAGCGUGUAGGCGGCCUGAAAGGUCAGCUGUGAAAACUCGAGGCUCAACCUCGAGACGUCGGUGGAAACCAUCAGACUAGAGUCCGGAAGAGGAGAGUGGAAUUCCUGGUGUAGCGGUGAAAUGCGCAGAUAUCAGGAAGAACACCCGUGGCUAAGGCGGCUCGCUAGUACGGUACUGACGCUGAGACGCGAAAGCGUGGGGAGCAAACAGG
rnacentral:rRNA from 1 species